rnacentral:ncRNA from 4 species
GCCGGGAUAGCUCAGUCGGUAGAGC